rnacentral:rRNA from 1 species
UACGUAGGGUGCGAGCGUUGUCCGGAAUUAUUGGGCGUAAAGAGCUCGUAGGCGGUCUGUCGCGUCGGCUGUGAAAACUCGGGGCUCAACCCCGAGCCUGCAGCCGAUACGGGCAGACUAGAGUUCGGCAGGGGAGACUGGAAUUCCUGGUGUAGCGGUGAAAUGCGUAGAUAUCAGGAGGAACACCGGUGGCGAAGGCGGCGACCUGGGUAGAUACUGACGCUGAGGUGCGAAAGCGUGGGGAGCAAACAGG